UAAUACAUGUUUCGUGGGUGAUUUUGC
rnacentral:sRNA from 1 species